rnacentral:lncRNA from 1 species
GCCAUACAAGAAAUGUAGUGUGUAUGCUGAAUUAGCUCUGAACUGGGAUGUAGUAUUGUAUUUGGCCUAACAUGGAUUAGAAGAUAGUUAUAAUUUAUUUAAUAUCGAAAAGACAAACAUAAUUUUAUAUGAUCCUAAGAGUGGAGAAAAAGAGAGCAUGUGGACUAAUCAGCCAUGUGUAAAACAUGAUGUAUCAGCC